AUGGUUAAAGCAGUGAGCAGUCAUGUCUUUGUCUUCAAUGGCAUCUGGUUCCAUGCAAAUUUCCUUGCUAAGCGAAAAGGAGCCACCAACUGCGUUGAUCUCGUCCCCAAGUACUUCUUUGCUGAAUUGGAAAUCGUGGGGACGAAGAAACUAUCUUGUGUUUCAUGUGUUAAGCUUGACCCAGGUGAUCCCAAAAACAUUGGUGGUUGUAGCCUGUGCUAUGAGAAUAUCAUGCAUCCUGCUGGGGGUGGAUACCACGGUGCCCAACCUCGAUCUGUUCGACAUGCUCCUGGUGGCCAACAGAUUUCAUUCAAGUUCUGA
rnacentral:rRNA from 1 species